rnacentral:lncRNA from 1 species
GUACUCCUAAUAACAUACCACCUUAACGCGUUAGGACACUGAGCCUAGCUAGCAGGCGUUUCUCUUCCAGUGCAUGCUUGGUGGAAAGGUUAUUUACUGCGGUAUAAAUAAACUGCGUUGAAAAGUUUUAAUUAAUUGCUGCUUUCGACACCCACAAAACUACUUCAUCUUUAAAAUUGCUGUGGCGUAACUAUAGGUCUUCCUAAUUAUAGGUGUCAUAUUUAACAUUUCUUGAAUGUUCCCUGUGUGUUAUGUAUUGUAGGGAUGGCGAAGAUGACACACCAUUCUUAAACUGAAACCCUUGCAGUGAGCCUAUGACCAUUUUGGCCAUUUGACCAAGAUGAUAUUGUGUGGUUCUCAUGGUCACAACUACAGAAGGAGUGGAAGUCUUACAGAAUCUUCAGGGACUUGAGCAUGUCUUGCCAACAGGUAGUACUAUGGAUGCAGAAGGUCCUGAGCCCCACUGCUCUUACUCUGGAAGGAGAGUCGUGAGGUAUUUCAUCACACUUUGGCAACAGAGGAUCAGAGCACUCUGGGAUACUAUGGGUUUACUUGAGUGCCAAAUUAUAAUAAAGUACUGUGGUAGAAUCAAUUUGGACUUGAAUCCAGGAUUGGUUUCUAUCAAGCUGUAGUGGACAUCUGAAUUCUGAGACAGUACCUGGGAAUACCAGUACUUCCUACUCUCAAUCCCUUCAGGUUACAUGGGGUGGGAGCCUUCUUCAAAAUCCAGCACUGGCCC